rnacentral:rRNA from 1 species
AGUGAACGCUGGCGGCAGGCCUAAUACAUGCAAGUCGAACGGCAGCACAGUGGAGCUUGCUCCAUGGGUGGCGAGUGGCGGACGGGUGAGGAAUACAUGGGAAUCUGCCCAGUCGUGGGGGAUAACGUAGGGAAACUUACGCUAAUACCGCAUGCGCCCUUCGGGGGAAAGCCGGGGACCUUCGGGCCUGGCGCGAUUGGAUGAGCCCAUGUUCGAUUAGCUAGUUGGCGGGGUAAAGGCCCACCAAGGCGACGAUCGAUAGCUGGUCUGAGAGGAUGAUCAGCCACACUGGGACUGAGACACGGCCCAGACUCCUACGGGAGGCAGCAGUAGGGAAUAUUGGACAAAGGGCGCAAGCCUGAUCCAGCCAUGCCGCGUGAGUGAAGAAGGCCCUCGGGUUGUAAAGCUCUUUUGUCCGGGAAGAAAAGCAUCGGGCUAAUACCUCGGUGUUCUGACGGUACCGGAAGAAUAAGCACCGGCUAACUUCGUG